rnacentral:lncRNA from 1 species
AUACAAUACCACAACAUAGUAUAAGAGCAAAGUCAUUUCAAUCAUAAGCACAAAUGCAAGAUACAACACACAUAUAGCCAUAAAAGCUCAUGAGCUGAGGUACAAGUUCAUGUCAUCCAAAUACAAAGGAUCCAAGUCACAAAAUCAAGAACAUUGUAAGUCAAUGCAUUCAUUAUGCUAAGAAAUCCAAGACAGUCACCAAGCCACAUCAAUCAUCCAAACAUGUAUCAAGUUCCAAAUUCAGCAUUCAAACU